ACUGAGUAGGGGCUAAGAAAGCGAAAACGGAGAGCUUAAUAACGGUCCCUCUUGGGGAGAGUGUAUCUGUCAGGGGGCUUUUCUUUUCUGAGCUUUUCAUUGGAGGCGUUUGGUCAGGUAGUCACAAAGAAGCUCCGUCGGCCGGCCCCAACCCUUCAGCGGUCGUAUUUUAAGGAUAUUUUCAGCAUUUGCGUUUAAGUUUUUUUAAAAAAAAACAACCACCACCACCCAACUUUGUAAAGCGAGAGGGAUGCCUUUACUUUGUUGGACACAUCCUGGCCCUGGGAAAAGAGUCUUUGACGCUCCCGGAAAGUCAAGUUCUCUGGUGCACCAGGUCCCGAUAAGGUUCAUGUGGGCCUGCAAUUGCUCCAGUAGAUCCAGUGUAGUUUGAGCCUUAUGUAAGAGAAUGUACAAUGACAAUUGAAAGAUCUGUUUGAUGCUACAAGGAAAUAUUACUACUUUUUUUUCAAAAGUUGCAGUGCUUUUUUAGAUGGAAUAAUAAAUCUCAACCCAUGUUUUCUAAUAUUUUAAGAUAAUUCCAAGCAUAUAUUUCUUUUUGCUUACUAAAAUGAAAGGCAUGUUACUAAAAACAAAUCUUUUCAAAUGGUUUUUUCCUGUGACUUUACUUUUAAAUAUGAACAUGAUAAAACAAAAUCAUUCAUGCAGAAUGAUCAUCACAAAGAAGUGAAAGCAACUAAGAAUUCCAAAUUCAACUAUGCAAAUUCUCCCUCCAGUCUCAAGGGAGACUCGAGAUCUGGAAUUACUGCUUUUUUCAUGUAGUAACAACCCAUUGAUCAGAUUCUCCAGUGGGCACCAGGACACCCUCAAGUGGGUAUUGUCUUCCGCUGCUAGUGCUUGAGGUAGGAAAGAGUUAACACUCCAAAUGGACUGUUGCCGUGGCCCCUCCCACGGAGUGCUAGUUCAUUUUUCCUGCCUUGCUUGAGCAGUACCGUUAUUCGCCUUGCUGUUCAGUCUGGCUAGUUAUAUCCUUAUUUAAAUUUAUUUUAUUUGUUAAAAUUGUAAAUUAAUUGUGUGUGAAUGCGGGAGGUUUGUUAGACAGUUUUUCAAUGAAUUGGUGAGAGGGUUUUUGAGUGAUUGUUGAGUGUCUGUUGUUCACAGAGGAGAAUUUGUCACAUCUUUUUCUAAAAGAUUCUCUUUUAUAUGUGUUUUACAGCACUGCAACUUUAUACUUGGCUCUCACACAAUAAAAUUACUGCACAGCAGACUGAUCUUCUCCAAAGGCCACAAGACUAAACACAAUUUUACUUGAAAUAUCAACAUCGUACCCAGGUUUUAAAACAUCUCUCUCUUUUGCUGUUUAUACUGUUAAGGAAAACAGUCUUCACAACAAGUGUUGUCACAAAUCCUUGUCUGUUUUCAACUGAUAUUUUUAGUCUCUUGAUACUGCAUGUGUUGUGUCUUGUGAGCCUUGAUCUAUCCAAAAACAAAUGCAUGCUCCUUCCAAUAGUAUUUUUUGUUCAUCUACUGAACACAAUGCAAUAUUUAAUACUAUACUGAUUCUCCAGUAAUCAACCAAGAAUGCAGUCUUAUGCACAUGUACCAAAGAGUUAGCCCAACUGAAUACAGUAAGUUUUAUUUUUUAAUAAACAUGUACAGAGAAUCUACCAUGCAUAAUAAUAUUUAUAGCAAUUAUUUUGCCCUCUGUCAAAUUGUAAAGCCAAUAAUCUUUUUUUAUUUUUGAAAAAACUGAGAAAUGCAGCUUACUCAUAUUUAGCCAAAUUGAUCAAGUUUUAUUACCAAAUUUGAGUGUAUCAGUGUUUUGAAGUGGUCCUUAAUUAUCCAGUGGAAGGAGCUGAACAAUUGAGUUUUGCAGAAGAACAGUUUGCCAUAUGUUAGCGUUCAUUAAAAGACAGAAAUGUGAGUGUUAUUGAGAUGGCGAGAUGACAAAUUGUACAGUGAAUUCUGCAUUUGUGCAAAGAGCUUUGUAUUUUGUACAGGCAGUAUUGACUGAACACUCAGGAGGAAUGUAUGACCUGUUCUAUAGGCUUUUUAAAAUGUGCUGAAAUUAAAGUGAGGCAUUAUAUUAAAUAGCAUUCUUCAAUUA